AAAAUUAUAUCAAAUAUAUGAUUGAUGAAUUAUGUAAAGGUACACCAUCUUGUACUUUUUAACCGUCUUAACAAACUUAUAGUAAACAGAAAAACGAGGACGAUGAAUAGAAGCUCACAUCUUUGAUGGUUUGGACUCCAGUUGCAAGUAUACAAACUUUGAAGGAAGAUAAUUGCUCAGGAAGUUAACAGACUUAUUUUUGUACUUCGGGGACAGUGAGAUAUAUAUUAAUGGAAGAAUGUAUUUAGACGGAGUAUGACACUUUUAUUAAAGGUUACAAUUACCUUAAACAGUACCAAGUCUAAAUUUCCAAAUGAUAUGAUCUUUAAAAAUAUAAAUAUAGGAAUGUUUCGGAAAUCAUAUUGUUUAUUUAUUCCUCUUUACUGCCAAAGAACAAGCAGGUAACAAUUAAAAUAUGUUAACAAAUAAGUAUUUCAAGUAAAUGACAGCAAAUUGAUGAAUAAAUAUGAAAUGAUGUGUGGAAUGCAAAUUGUUGAAUAACGGUUUAUGAUAGAACUUGGAUUUGAUAACUAAUAUGGCAAUAAUUUACUCAAUGUUGAACUUACAUAGAUCUGAUCUCAUCUGAUCUCGUCAGAGAUUCUGAGACUGUAUAGCGAUGUGGCUAUCCAGAUUUUUUACGAACCCUAAACAAUUCUGAUCCUGAGUUCUGAAUCUUACAAUGGACAGCCUCCAACAUGAUUUUAGAAUACUACUAACUGGACUUCUUACAGUUUCUCACAGACUUCAUGCACAUUUUGUCUGUUUACACAAACACCUUUUGAUAAAAUCAAUUUAAAACGAUUUGGUGACGUGUAUCAAAUGCUAUGAAGGACUAAUAAGGAAUAUAAAAUA